rnacentral:sRNA from 1 species
UAGAUGCUGCUCACCUGUUGGUCAAGGAACAAUUGCAACAAUGUCAUAUCGAAUUUUCUACAUCCCCAUGGAAUUCACCUAUAUUUGUCAUAAAAAAGAAGUCUGGUAAAUGGAGAUUAUUGACUGAUUUAAGGGAAGUGAAUAAUUCCAUGUACCCCAUGGGGGCUUUACAACCUGGAAUCCCCUCUCCCGCUAUGUUACCAAAAUAUUGGCAUAUUGUAGUUAUUGAUUUACAGGAUUGUUUCUUUACUAUUCCUGUUCAUCCUGUUGAUCAUAAGCAUUUUGCUUUUUC